rnacentral:rRNA from 1 species
ACGGAGGAUCCGAGCGUUAUCCGGAUUUAUUGGGUUUAAAGGGUGCGUAGGCGGUUUGAUAAGUCAGCGGUGAAAGUUUGCAGCUUAACUGUAAACAUGCCUUUGAAACUGUCUGUCUUGAGUGUAAAUGAGGUAGGCGGAAUGCGUGGUGUAGCGGUGAAAUGCUUAGAUAUGACACAGAACUCCGAUUGCGAAGGCAGCUUACUAAGCUAGAACUGACGCUCAGGCACGAAAGCGUGGGGAGCAAACAG